rnacentral:rRNA from 1 species
AACGAACGCUGGCGGCGCGUCUUAACCAUGCAAGUCGAGCGGCAGGCAACAAUGCCGAGAGCGGCGGACUGGUGAGUAACACGUGGAUAACGUACCCCGAUGUCCGGGACAGCCUGUAGAAAUAGAGGGUAAUACCGGAUAGAUCACUGUUUACGUGAGGUAGACAGCGGGAAAGGAGCUUCGGCUCCGCGACGGGAUCGGUCUGCGGCCCAUCAGCUGGACGGCGGGGUAAAGGCCCGCCGUGGCGAGGACGGGUAUCCGGCCUGAGAGGGCGGACGGACACAUUGGGACUGAGAUACGGCCCAGACUCCUACGGGAGGCAGCAGGUAAGAAUAUUCCGCAAAGGGGGGAACCCUGACGGAGCGACGCCGCGUGAACGAAGAAGGCCGGAAGGUUGUAAAGUUCUUUUCUGUCCGAGGAAUAAGUUUCGGAGGAAAUGCCGGGACGGUGACGGUAGGGCAGGAAUAAGCACCGGCUAAUUACGUG